rnacentral:rRNA from 1 species
GAUGAACGCUGGCGGCGUGCUUAACACAUGCAAGUCGAACGGAAAGGCCCUGCGUUUGUGGGUUGCUCGAGUGGCGAACGGGUGAGUAACACGUGAGUAACCUGCCCUUAUCUGUGGGAUAUCUUCAGGAAACUGGGGCUAAUACCGGAUAUGAGCUCCUGCUGCAUGUUGGGGGUUGGAGAAAGUCGGCGGUUGUGGAUGGUCUCGCGGCUUAUCAGCUUCUUGGUGUGGUAGUGGAUGUCAAAGGCUUUGACGGCUAGGCGGCCUGGGAGGGUGACCGGCCACAUUGGGACUGAGAUACGGCGCAGACUGCUACGGGAGGCAGCAGUGGAGAAUAUUGCAGAAUGGGCGGAAGUCUGAUGCAGAAACGUCGCGAGCGGGAUGACGUGUUACGGGGUGUAAACAGCUGUGUACUGUGAUGAAGAGAGAGUGACGGUAAUGGGUAAAGAAGCACCGGCUAACUACGUG